GACAGAGGGGGCAAGCGUUGUCCGGACUGACUGGGCGUAAAGCGUCCGCAGGUGGCUAUUCAAGUCUGCGGUCAAAGACUGGGGCUUAACCCUGGAAAGGCCGUGGAAACUGAAGAGCUAGAGUGCAGUAGGGGUAGAGGGAAUUCCCGGUGUAGCGGUGAAAUGCGUAGAGCUCGGGAAGAACAUCGGUGGCGAAAGCGCUCUGCUGGACUGCAACUGACACUCAGGGACGAAAGCUAGGGGAGCGAAUGGG
rnacentral:rRNA from 1 species